CGCAAAGCGGGGCGCAGGACGGCAAGGUGAGGGCGCGGGGACUUACUCUGCCAAGCGCGGUGCCGAGCGCAGCGGCCAAGAAACCCAGGCCCGGCUCCCCGGCGCCCGGAACCCCGCGGGCCGGCAGGUCAAGCGCUUCGGGCCGGACGGCGUCCGGGAUAGGGACCGCGACCGCACGGACGCGCGGGUGGGGUUGGCUCGGGUGGCGCUCGCACUGCGCUCCGGCCGCGGCUCCGCGCGGCUCGGCUCCCCGCUCCCCUCUGGCUCCUUGGCACCAACUCUGGGCAGUCACAUGACGCCGGCGCCGCUCGCUCUGCGAGCCUCCCCGGGGCUGGCGGGGUAAGUAGAGGCUGGGAGCCGGGGUGGGAGGGUCAGGGAGGGGCAGCGGGAGCCGCCACAGCCGCCCGGGCUGGGAGGGGUCCCCACCCACUUGGGUGGAGGCAGCCGCCGGAGGGGUCGGCGAGUCACUGGCAAACACGCACCCCGCCCUGCCCUUCCCCGCCCCCGCCUCCCGCGCCGCCCCCGCCCGCGCCCCGCCCAGUCACCCGGGGCCAGCCUGACAGACACUCAUUAUUCCCCGGAGCCGGGCGCCGCCCCGCCGGCUCGACCUGUCCCGGGAGGCGCGGCGCGGCCUCGGGGCUGGGCGUGAGCGGCCCCCGCCCGGCUCUCCACCCUGGGCCUCCACCCCGCCUGAGCGCUCCGCCCGGCGCCCUGAGCCCGCGGCCCCGCCCUAGCUGUCCUGGCCUCCUCGCUGCGGCCCGAGCCCCGGGGGGAAGGAAGGGCGGCGUUGGCCCGCUCCGGGCGUCACACGCUCUACGGCCCCUAGCGCCGCUUCCAAAACACACAGCCCGGGUUCGCAGGCGAGCCGAGGAGUGGGGGAGCGAGGCCGUCAAUCACUCGCUCCCGCGGGAAGGGCCGCCCCUCCCGGGCAGAGGGCGGUGGAGCGGGUGUUGCGGCCCAGGAUGCCCUGUCCCUACGUCGGGGAGCGCGGUGCUCCAGGAGCGAUCGCUGCCUUGUGCACAGGGGUCGCGCUGCAGCCUGCGCGCUGGCGCUGUUCGGAGACUUCGGGUCGCCCCUGUUCUUUCGCCUACCCUGCAGGGGCCGCUUCCAGCCUGGAGGGACUUUUCUUGGAAAGGUGGAGACCCCCGGAGGAGUGCGACUCCCCAAGGGCCCGAUGCUCUGGAGCGAAAAGGCGUUCGCUGGUCAGCCUUGCUGCCAGAAAAUUUAGCAAACUUCGGGCAGAUCCUCCCACCUGGGGCGAGAGCUCUGGCUGGCCUGGGGCUCAGCCCCGGGACCUUUCCUUUCACACUUUAAGAGCCUCAAGGCACUUUUUCCGUGGAAACCAGGCCAGCGCGAGGACAACUUCGCUGAGCUUGGUGCUAGGCUAGAGUCGGAGGCUUUUGAGUUUCCUUUUAAAACAGUAUUAAUGUAAUAAGGAACGCAAUAAAAAGAACAAAGGAC
rnacentral:lncRNA from 1 species